AUAUAAUGUCGAAGGUUUCCAUGGAAGGGAAGUCUUGAAUCUCAAAGUUAAAAGAAGAGAAGAGAUGAGAAACGCGACUUCUUCUUCAAAAUUGGUUCUCGUAUUCAUUGUGUUUCUUCUUUGCCACACCGAGUCUGUUCUUCCUUCGCACCAUGAACCACUGUCAAUCACUGGAGUGAGAAGGGAGCUGGCACGAGUGCGGCGAUCAAAGAGUCCACCAGCUCGUUUCUACUCACCACCGCCGCCAAGGCCACAAUCACCACCGCUAAAGAGAUAAUGAUAGAUACCGACAUAUUUGGAGUUACAUGGGGCUUAAGUUUAUCACAUAUUCCUAUUCUAUAACUUUUCUUAUUCCUUGUUAUUUUUGUUGUAUAAAUACCCACAUUUGGGAAUGAAUAAAGACAACUUUGGCAUAAUAUUUUAUGAUAUCAGAGCAUAGAUCUCUUGACCUAA